rnacentral:rRNA from 1 species
UACGAAGGGAGCUAGCGUUGUUCGGAAUCACUGGGCGUAAAGCGCACGUAGGCGGAUUGCUAAGUCAGGGGUGAAAUCCCGGGGCUCAACCUCGGAACUGCCUUUGAUACUGGUGAUCUAGAGUCCGGAAGAGGUGGGUGGAAUUCCUAGUGUAGAGGUGAAAUUCAUAGAUAUUAGGAAGAACACCGGUGGCGAAGGCGGCCCACUGGUCCGGUACUGACGCUGAGGUGCGAAAGCGUGGGGAGCAAACAGG